GACGAACGCUGGCGGCGUGCCUAAUACAUGCAAGUCGAACGAACUCUGGUAUUGAUUGGUGCUUGCAUCAUGAUUUACAUUUGAGUGAGUGGCGAACUGGUGAGUAACACGUGGGAAACCUGCCCAGAAGCGGGGGAUAACACCUGGAAACAGAUGCUAAUACCGCAUAACAACUUGGACCGCAUGGUCCGAGUUUGAAAGAUGGCUUCGGCUAUCACUUUUGGAUGGUCCCGCGGCGUAUUAGCUAGAUGGUGGGGUAACGGCUCACCAUGGCAAUGAUACGUAGCCGACCUGAGAGGGUAAUCGGCCACAUUGGGACUGAGACACGGCCCAAACUCCUACGGGAGGCAGCAGUAGGGAAUCUUCCACAAUGGACGAAAGUCUGAUGGAGCAACGCCGCGUGAGUGAAGAAGGGUUUCGGCUCGUAAAACUCUGUUGUUAAAGAAGAACAUAUCUGAGAGUAACUGUUCAGGUAUUGACGGUAUUUAACCAGAAAGCCACGGCUAACUACGUGCCAGCAGCCGCGGUAAUACGUAGGUGGCAAGCGUUGUCCGGAUUUAUUGGGCGUAAAGCGAGCGCAGGCGGUUUUUUAAGUCUGAUGUGAAAGCCUUCGGCUCAACCGAAGAAGUGCAUCGGAAACUGGGAAACUUGAGUGCAGAAGAGGACAGUGGAACUCCAUGUGUAGCGGUGAAAUGCGUAGAUAUAUGGAAGAACACCAGUGGCGAAGGCGGCUGUCUGGUCUGUAACUGACGCUGAGGCUCGAAAGUAUGGGUAGCAAACAGGAUUAGAUACCCUGGUAGUCCAUACCGUAAACGAUGAAUGCUAAGUGUUGGAGGGUUUCCGCCCUUCAGUGCUGCAGCUAACGCAUUAAGCAUUCCGCCUGGGGAGUACGGCCGCAAGGCUGAAACUCAAAGGAAUUGACGGGGGCCCGCACAAGCGGUGGAGCAUGUGGUUUAACUCGAAGCUACGCGAAGAACCUUACCAGGUCUUGACAUACUAUGCAAAUCUAAGAGAUUAGACGUUCCCUUCGGGGACAUGGAUACAGGUGGUGCAUGGUUGUCGUCAGCUCGUGUCGUGAGAUGUUGGGUUAAGUCCCGCAACGAGCGCAACCCUUAUUAUCAGUUGCCAGCAUUAAGUUGGGCACUCUGGUGAGACUGCCGGUGACAAACCGGAGGAAGGUGGGGAUGACGUCAAAUCAUCAUGCCCCUUAUGACCUGGGCUACACACGUGCUACAAUGGAUGGUACAACGAGUUGCGAACUCGCGAGAGUAAGCUAAUCUCUUAAAGCCAUUCUCAGUUCGGAUUGUAGGCUGCAACUCGCCUACAUGAAGUCGGAAUCGCUAGUAAUCGCGGAUCAGCAUGCCGCGGUGAAUACGUUCCCGGGCCUUGUACACACCGCCCGUCACACCAUGAGAGUUUGUAACACCCAAAGUCGGUGGGGUAACCUUUUAGGAACCAGCCGCCUAAGGUGGGACAGAUGAUUAGGGUG
rnacentral:rRNA from 1 species